rnacentral:rRNA from 1 species
GACGAACGCUGGCGGCGUGCUUAACACAUGCAAGUCGAACGGAAAGGCCCUGCUUUUGUGGGGUGCUCGAGUGGCGAACGGGUGAGUAACACGUGAGUAACCUGCCCUUGACUUUUGGAUAACUUCAGGAAACUUGGGCUAAUACCAUAUAGUAGCUCCUGCUGCAUGGUAGGGGUGGGAAAGUUUCGGCUGUUGGGGAUGGACUCGCGGCUUAUCAUCUUGUUGGUGGGGUAGUGGCUUACCAAGGGUUAGAAGGGUAGCCGGCCUGGGAGGGUGAACGGGCACAAUGGGACUAAGGUACGCAGCAGAGGGGAACGGGGGGCAAUGGGGGGAAGUAUGACACAGUGAGAGGGAGUGUGUGACGAAGACGCCGGGGGUGGAAAGAAGGUCUGCGGGGAAAGAAAAGCAUUCGGCUAAGACGAAGCGUGAGUGACGGUAAUGGGUGAAGAAGCACCGGCUAACUACGUG